rnacentral:rRNA from 1 species
UGGUCAAGUUAUUAAGGGUGCAGGGCGGAUGCCUUGGCACUAGGAGCCGAUGAAGGACGUGAUAAGCUGCGAUAAGCUUCGGGGAGUUGCACGUAAACUUUGAUCCGAAGAUUUCCGAAUGAGGAAACUCACUUAGAGUAAUGUCUAAGUAUCAUUAAGUGAAUACAUAGCUUAAUGAGGGGAACUCAGGGAACUGAAACAUCUAAGUACCUGAAGGAAGAGAAAGAAAUUCGAUUCCGUAAGUAGCGGCGAGCGAACGCGGAUUAGCCCAAACCAAUAAAGUUUUCUUUAUUGGGGUUGCGGACAUAUCAUAACGAAGAGGUAUCGUAAUUGAAGAGGUUUGGAAAGACCCACCACAGAAGGUAAUAGUCCUGUAUGUUAAACGAGAAGACUUUAGAUAUGAUCCAGAGUACCACGGGACACGUGAAACCCUGUGGGAAGCAGGAGGGACCACCCUCCAAGGCUAAAUACUACCUAGUGACCGAUAGCGUAUAGUACCGUGAGGGAAAGGUGAAAAGAACCCCGGGAGGGGAGUGAAAUAGAACCUGAAACCCUGCACUUACAAGCUGUGGAAGCACAUUUCUUGUGUGACCGCGUACUUUUUGUAGAACGGGCCAACGAGUUACGUUAAGUAGCAAGGUUAAGCACUUAAGGUGCGGAGCCGUAGCGAAAGCGAGUUUUAACUGAGCGUUCAGUUACUUGACGUAGACCCGAAACCGGGCGACCUACCCAUGAGCAGGAUGAAGCGAAAGUAAAAUUUCGUGGAGGUCCGAACCCACGAGCGUUGAAAAGCUCGGGGAUGACUUGUGGGUAGCGGUGAAAUUCCAAUCGAGCCCGGAGAUAGCUGGUUCUCCCCGAAAUAGCUUUAGGGCUAGCCUCAAGGUGAGAGAUACGGAGGUAGAGCACUGAAUGUCCUAGGGGGUAUUGCACCUACCGAAGACUAUCAAACUCCGAAUGCCGUCAUCUUAUACUUGGGAGUCAGACUGUGGGUGAUAAGAUUCAUAGUCGAAAGGGCAACAGCCCAGAUCGUCAGCUAAGGUCCCUAAAUGUAAGUUAAGUGGUAAAGGAUGUGGGAUUGCACAGACAACCAGGAUGUUGGCUUAGAAGCAGCCACUCAUUCAAAGAGUGCGUAAUAGCUCACUGGUCGAGUGAUCCUGCGCCGAAGAUUUCCGGGGCUAAAACUUACUACCGAAGCUACGGCAUCAGUAAUGAUGGGUAGGGGAGCUUCCCAUACGGGUUGAAGCAUGACCGUAAGGACAUGUGGACAGUAUGGGAGUGAGAAUGUUGGCAUGAGUAGCGAGAUGUGGGUGAGAAUCCCACAGGCCGUAAACCCAAGGUUUCCAGGGGAAGGUUCGUCCGCCCUGGGUUAGUCGGGACCUAAGCUGAGGCCGAAAGGCGUAGGUGAUGGACAACAGGUUGAUAUUCCUGUACUACCGAUAACCGUUUGAGAGAAGGGAUGACACAGUAGGAUAAGCUAAGCACACUGUUGGUUAUGUGUGCCCAAGCAUUGAGGCAGUCAAAGUAGGCAAAUCCGCUUUGAUAAUGCUGGGAUGUGAUGGGGAGCGAAAUUUAGUAGCGAAGUAGCUGAUUUCACACUGUCAAGAAAAGUCUCUAUCGAGGUUAAAGGUACCCGUACCGCAAACCGACACAGGUGGGUGAGGAGAGUAUCCUAAGGCCAGCGAGAGAACUGUUGUUAAGGAACUCGGCAAAAUGACCCCGUAACUUAGGGAUAAGGGGUGCCACCAUCAGGUGGCCGCAGAGAAUAGGCCCAAGCGACUGUUUACCAAAAACAUAGGUUUCUGCUAAGUCGCAAGACGAUGUAUAGGAGCUGACGCCUGCCCGGUGCUGGAAGGUUAAGGGGAUCUGUUAGAGCAAUCGAAGCAGUGAACUUAAGCCCCAGUAAACGGCGGCCGUAACUAUAACGGUCCUAAGGUAGCGAAAUUCCUUGUCGGGUAAGUUCCGACCCGCACGAAAGGCGUAACGAUUUGGGCACUGUCUCAACAACAGACUCGGUGAAAUUGUAAUUCCGGUGAAGAUGCCGGAUACCUGCGACAGGACGGAAAGACCCCAUGGAGCUUUACUGUAGCUUGACAUUGGGUCUUGGUACUACAUGUACAGGAUAGGUGGGAGGCUUUGAAACCAGGACGCCAGUUUUGGCGGAGCCAUCCUUGGGAUACCACCCUUGUAGUACUGGGACUCUAACCAUAGGCCAUGAAUCUGGUCUUGGGACACUGUCAGGUGGGCAGUUUGACUGGGGCGGUCGCCUCCCAAAAGGUAACGGAGGCGCUCAAAGGUUCUCUCAGUACGGUCGGAAAUCGUACGUAGAGUGUAAAGGCAAAAGAGAGCUUGAUUGCAAGACAUACAGGUCGAGCAAGGAUGAAAAUCGGACUUAGUGAUCCGGUGGUUCUGCGUGGAAGGGCCAUCGCUCAACGGAUAAAAGCUACCCUGGGGAUAACAGGCUUAUCUCCCCCAAGAGUCCACAUCGACGGGGAGGUUUGGCACCUCGAUGUCGGCUCAUCACAUCCUGGGGCUGUAGUAGGUCCCAAGGGUUGGGCUGUUCGCCCAUUAAAGUGGUACGCGAGCUGGGUUCAGAACGUCGUGAGACAGUUCGGUCCCUAUCCGUCGCAGGCGUAGGAAAUUUGAGAAGACCUGUCCUUAGUACGAGAGGACCGGGAUGGACGUACCUCUGGUGUACCAGUUGUCCUGCCAAGGGCAUGGCUGGGUAGCUAUGUACGGAAUGGAUAAGCGCUGAAAGCAUCUAAGCGCGAAGCCAACUUCAAGAUAAGAUUUCCCACCGCAAGGGUAAGACCCCAGAAAGACUAUCUGGUUGAUAGGUCGAAGGUGUAAGUGCAGCAAUGUAUUUAGCUUAUCGAUACUAAUAGGUCGAGGACUUGACCAAG